AUGGCAUGAUGUGGACAUUGUCUCUCCAACUCCUUCCAUCUCAUCCAUAACUCAUAAAGGGUCUCAUCUUCUUCAGGCCAAAAAGCAGUCAUCUAAUUUCUUAACUC